rnacentral:rRNA from 1 species
AGUGGCGGACGGGUGAGUAACGCGUAAGAAUCUAACUUCAGGACGGGGACGACAGUUGGAAACGACUGCUAAUACCCGAUGUGCCGCAAGGUGAAACCUAAUUGGCCUGGAGAAGAGCUUGCGUCUGAUUAGCUAGUUGGUGGGGUAAAGGCCUACCAAGGCGACGAUCAGUAGCUGGUCUGAGAGGAUGAGCAGCCACACUGGGACUGAGACACGGCCCAGACUCCUACGGGAGGCAGCAGUGGGGAAUUUUCCGCAAUGGGCGAAAGCCUGACGGAGCAACGCCGCGUGAGGGAGGAAGGUCUUUGGAUUGUAAACCUCUUUUCUCAAGGAAGAAGUUCUGACGGUACUCGAGGAAUCAGCCUCGGCUAACUCCGUGCCAGCAGCCGCGGUAAUACGGGGGAGGCAAGCGUUAUCCGGAAUUAUUGGGCGUAAAGCGUCCGCAGGUGGUCAGCCAAGUCUGCCGUCAAAUCAGGUUGCUUAACGACCUAAAGGCGGUGGAAACUGGCAGACUAGAGAGCAGUAGGGGUAGCAGGAAUUCCCAGUGUAGCGGUGAAAAGCGUAGAGAUUGGGAAGAACAUCGGUGGCGAAAGCGUGCUACUGGGCUGUAUCUGACACUCAGGGACGAAAGCUAGGGGAGCGAAAGGGAUUAGAUACCCCUGUAGUCCUAGCCGUAAACGAUGGAUACUAGGCGUGGCUU